rnacentral:Y_RNA from 1 species
GGCUGAUCUAGUUGUAGUGGGUUAAUAGGAAUUAUUACUGUUAGUUAAACUAGCCUUUCUAGAUUCCACUCCACUGCUAACCUUGACUGGUCUUAA